GGUUGUUAAAAUAAAGUUUCAGCUGGUGUUAAAAUUCACAAGGAUCAUAGACCAUGGAUUAGUUGAAAUAAUAAAUUGUGUAUCAAAGGAAUAUUUAGAAUAUGGACAAAUUAUCGGAUUGUAUAGAUGAACUAUUAAAAUAUACGAUUAUGGGAUAUUAGAGUUUCAAAUUCAGUUAAUAGAAGAUUCAAAUAAUUUUGUAUUCAUUGAGGAUCACGGAGACCAAAUUGAUGGUGCACACGAGGAUAGACACUAUUAAAUAAUUAAUAAUAAUUCCACACAUAUAAAUUUUGUACUUUUUUAAUUAGUAUAAUAAGAUUUUUCUCAAAUUAUAUAUAUUCAACUUUCAUAUAUUUUACUCUC